UAAGAUAGCUUCGGAUGAUUCAUUGGG
rnacentral:sRNA from 1 species